rnacentral:rRNA from 1 species
GAUGAACGCUGGCGGCGUGCCUAAUACAUGCAAGUCGAGCGAACGUACGAGAAGCUUGCUUCUCUUAUGUUAGCGGCGGACGUGUGAGUAACACGUGGAUAACCUACCUAUAAGACUGGGAUAACUUCGGGAAACCGGAGCUAAUACCGGAUAAUAUUUUUAACCGCAUGGUUCAAAAGUGAAAGACGGUCUUGCUGUCACUUGUAGAUGGAUCCGCGCUGCAUUAGCUAGUUGGUAAGGUAACGGCUUACCAAGGCAACGAUGCAUAGCCGACCUGAGAGGGUGAUCGGCCACACUGGAACUGAGACACGGUCCAGACUCCUACGGGAGGCAGCAGUAGGGAAUCUUCCGCAAUGGGCGAAAGCCUGACGGAGCAACGCCGCGUGAGUGAUGAAGGUCUUCGGAUCGUAAAACUCUGUUAUUAGGGAAGAACAUAUGUGUAAGUAACUGUGCACAUCUUGACGGUACCUAAUCAGAAAGCCACGGCUAACUACGUG